GGAAUCUUGCGCAAUGGGCGAAAGCCUGACGCAGCAACGCCGCGUGGGAGACGAAGGCUCUCGGGUUGUAAACCCCUUUCCGCAGGGACGAAAAUGACGGUACCUGCAGAAGAAGACCCGGCCAACUACGUGCCCGCAGCCGCGGUAACACGUAGGGGGCAAGCGUUGUCCGGCAGUAUUGGGCGUAAAGAGCUCGUAGGCGGCUCGGUAAGUCAGGUGUGAAAUUCCAGGGCUCAACCCUGGAACGCCACCUGAUACUGCUGUGGCUAGAGUCCGGUAGGGGAGCGUGGAAUUCCUAGUGUAGCGGUGAAGUGCGCAGAUAUUAGGAGGAACACCAGCGGCGAAGGCGGCGCUCUGGGCCGGAACUGACGCUGAGGAGCGAAAGCGUGGGGAGCAAAC
rnacentral:rRNA from 1 species